rnacentral:lncRNA from 1 species
GACAUCCUAUACCAUUGUUUUUCGAAGUGAUUUAUUCAUAAAGAAAUAUGGAACUCAUUAAUGACAGUUUAUGAGCUAUGGGCAGAGGGUUGAUACUGCUGCUCCCACCGUUUGGACAAGAAGCUGUGUGGAUAUGAGAGAAGAGGCAGUGAAGGGUGAGAGGGGCGGCAGAAGCCUCCAUGGUGAGAUCAUGUCAAACCUCUAAGUUUUUUCUUUUAAAUUGAUUGCCCAGCUCACUCUAGGGCCCCCUUCCACUUAAGCCACUUUCUCCCUUCCACCCCCUGAAAAGAAGCGU